UACGUAGGGUGCAAGCGUUGUCCGGAAUUAUUGGGCGUAAAGAGCUCGUAGGCGGUCUGUCGCGUCGGCUGUGAAAACUCGGGGCUCAACUCCGAGCUUGCAGUCGAUACGGGCAGGCUAGAGUUCGGCAGGGGAGACUGGAAUUCCUGGUGUAGCGGUGAAAUGCGCAGAUAUCAGGAGGAACACCGGUGGCGAAGGCGGGUCUCUGGGACGGUACUGACGCUGAGACGCGAAAGCGUGGGGAGCAAACAGG
rnacentral:rRNA from 1 species